GCGCGGGCGCGGGCGCGGGCGGGGGCGGGGCGGCCGCCGGCCGUGGGUCCCGCCUCGUCGUGGGCGGCCGCGGCCCCGCGCGCCGGCGCUGCCCCCCGUGGCGCGCUCGCCCGCAGGAGGCGGCGCGGGCCGGAGCCGAGCCGGGGCUGCAGCGCGGUGAGUGGCCUGGGCAGCCCCCAGGGGAGGGCGCGGGCCGCGGCGCCCCCCGCCCGCGGCGCUUUGUUCCGGGGCGUGGGGCGUGGUCGCCCCCGUGGCCGCGCUGGGGGGGGGCGGGGGGCGCCCCGGGACCUGCGCUGCGUGGCCUUCGGCCCCGCGCCGACUCCAGCGUAACGGUGCGCCCCGGAGCAGCAUGGCCAGCAGCGCGGUGCCCGGCGAC
rnacentral:lncRNA from 1 species